rnacentral:rRNA from 1 species
GACGAACGCUGGCGGCGUGCUUAACACAUGCAAGUCGAACGGAAAGGCCCUGCUUUUGUGGGGUGCUCGAGUGGCGAACGGGUGAGUAACACGUGAGUAACCUGCCCUUGACUUUGGGAUAACUUCAGGAAACUGGGGCUAAUACCGGAUAGGAGCUCCUGCUGCAUGGUGGGGGUUGGAAAGUUUCGGCGGUUGGGGAUGGACUCGCGGCCUAUCAGCUUGUUGGUGGGGUAGUGGCUUACCAAGGCUUUGACGGGUAGCCGGCCUGAGAGGGUGACCGGUCACAUUGGGACUGAGAUACGGCCCAGACUCCUACGGGAGGCAGCAGUGGGGAAUAUUGCACAAUGGGCGGAAGCCUGAUGCAGCAACGCCGCGUGCGGGAUGACGGCCUUCGGGUUGUAAACCGCUUUCGCCUGUGACGAAGCGUGAGUGACGGUAAUGGGUAAAGAAGCACCGGCUAACUACGUG